rnacentral:rRNA from 1 species
UACGUAGGGGGCUAGCGUUGUCCGGAAUCAUUGGGCGUAAAGAGCGUGUAGGCGGUCCGGUAAGUCCGCUGUGAAAGUCGGGGGCUCAACCCUCGAAUGCCGGUGGAUACUGUCGGGCUAGAGUGCGGAAGAGGCGAGUGGAAUUCCUGGUGUAGCGGUGAAAUGCGCAGAUAUCAGGAGGAACACCAAUGGCGAAGGCAGCUCGCUGGGACGGUACUGACACUGAGACGCGAAAGCGUGGGGAGCAAACAGG